UAGCGGCAGGCUUAACACAUGCAAGUCGAGGGGCAGCAUAAUGGAUAGCAAUAUCUAUGGUGGCGACCGGCGCACGGGUGCGUAACGCGUAUGCAACCUACCUUUAACAGGGGGAUAACACUGAGAAAUUGGUACUAAUACCCCAUAAUAUCAUAGAAGGCAUCUUUUAUGGUUGAAAAUUCCGAUGGUUAGAGAUGGGCAUGCGUUGUAUUAGCUAGUUGGUGAGGUAACGGCUCACCAAGGCGACGAUACAUAGGGGGACUGAGAGGUUAACCCCCCACACUGGUACUGAGACACGGACCAGACUCCUACGGGAGGCAGCAGUGAGGAAUAUUGGUCAAUGGACGCAAGUCUGAACCAGCCAUGCCGCGUGCAGGAUGACGGCUCUAUGAGUUGUAAACUGCUUUUGUACUAGGGUAAACUCACCUACGUGUAGGUGACUGAAAGUAUAGUACGAAUAAGGAUCGGCUAACUCCGUG
rnacentral:rRNA from 1 species